UGUUUCCCGUGCUGCUAAUCUUCUCUUGGCUGGUGCUGUUCUUAACAAAUGUUUACAACCUUAUGAAUCACAUAUUCUCUAUAUUCUUCAGUUUCUGGUUGAUUACAACUUGUAUGGCAUGUGUCAUUUGCACCUAUCAAAG